rnacentral:lncRNA from 1 species
GCCUGGUACAAUUUAAGUAGUGACAAUUUAUAAAAUUUGUAUUUUUUUUUUAUUUUCUUGUAGAGCAAUUUCAAGUUCUAAUCUUUACCAUGAUUAGUGUAUUAGUGGUUUUAAACCGCAUUCAUAGACUUUUAAAAAUGCUAUACCAGCUUUAAGAAACUUCAUCCCCCCUGUAAGACAGCUUAUUAACCCUCCUCAACAUCAACCACUACACCAAGCAGCAGUCCAACCUAUACCACCUGUAGUACACCAGGAAGUCAUCCUACCCUUACCAGCACCUCCACUCAUUUUAAGAAGAAGCACCAGACAGUCCAUACCACCCAACAGACUUAAUUUGUGAUUAAUUUGUGUAUUAUGGUUUUUUUUUUAUUGUUUUCAAAC